GUUCAUGAAAAAAUUUUGAUUUUGUGAUCUGGGUUUUGUUGGUGAUAAUCUAUAGGUGGCUCGUGUUUCGGCUUUCUCAUAUGGGCUUGUUUAUGGCCACAUGAAGCUCAAGUACCUCAAGGCAAAGGCAAGAUCACACAAGAAAGCUGAAGAAAAGGCUGCUGCAAAGGCUCACCAUUGAAGGUGGUGGUGGGAUCUGUUUCAAGUUGAGUGAACAUUUGAGUUGAGUUGAGUAUAGAAAUAAUCAUUAAAGAAAGCAGCGUUUCAUCUUUGGCGAAUGGUUUUGCAGACCUUGCUGGCUGCUUUUUAUCAAUUUUUUUUCUGAGAUACAAUCUUUUAAGAAACUUAACUUGAUUGCCUUUGACAAUUUUUAUGAAUAUUUAGCUUUCACUUUGGUUACAAUCUAAUGUUGAAUGAUUAUCAUCCUUUAUUUGAAAUAAUAAACCUCUGUUACCAUUA